GAUUAACGCUGGCGGCGUGCCUAAUACAUGCAAGUCGAGCGAACGGACGAGAAGCUUGCUUCUCUGAUGUUAGCGGCGGACGGGUGAGUAACACGUGGAUAACCUACCUAUCAGACUGGGAUAACUUCGGGACACCGGAGCUAAUACCGGAUGAUAUUUUGAACCGCAUGGUUCAAAAGUGAAAGACGGUCUUGCUGUCACUUAUAGAUGGAUCCGCGCUGCAUUAGCUAGUUGGUAAGGUAACGGCUUACCAAGGCAACGAUGCAUAGCCGACCUGAGAGGGUGAUCGGCCACACUGGAACUGAGACACGGUCAAGACUCCUACGGGAGGCAGCAGUAGGGAAUCUUCCGCAAUGGGCGAAAGCCUGAAGGAGCAACGCCGCGUGAGUGAUGAAGGUAUUCGGAUCGUAAAACUCUGUUAUUAGGGAAGAACAUAUGUGUAAGUAACUGUGCACAUCUUGACGGUACCUAAUCAGAAAGCCACGGCUAACUACGUG
rnacentral:rRNA from 1 species